GUGUCGAGCUAAAUCGGGCGUAAUCCAGUGUACAUGGGAAUCAAUACCGCCAGCGGUCAGAAUAAGUCCUUCCGCAGAGAUAACCUCUGUAGCGGGAGAGAUAAUUAACCGGGGAUCGACCCCGUCCAUAAUAUCGGGGUUUCCCGCCUUCCCAAUCGCAACAAUUCGUCCAUCUUUAAUGCCAACAUCCGCUUUGACUAUACCCCAGUAAUCAAUGAUGACCACGUUUGUAAUGACUAAAUCCGGUGCACCCGCUUUAGAACUAUGCCAACUGGCCUGCCCCAUGCCGUCGCGAAC
rnacentral:sRNA from 1 species